rnacentral:miRNA from 1 species
UAAUCCUACCAAUAACUUCAGC